rnacentral:rRNA from 1 species
GAUUGUAGUCUGCAACCCGACUACAUGAAGCUGGAAUCGCUAGUAAUCGCAGGUCAGCAUACUGCGGUGAAUACGUUCCCGGGUCUUGUACACACCGCCCGUCACACCAUGGGAGCCGGAAAUGCCCGAAGCCAGUGACCCAACCUUAGGGAGGGAGCUGUCGAAGGUGGAGCCGGUAACUGGGGUGAAGUCGUAACAAGGUACC